rnacentral:rRNA from 1 species
AUGGCUGACAGCUAAGUCAUGUUUAUCAGUAAAGAGGAGUCUAUUUCACAGUCAUACAAUAUUGUGCGACUGUGGAGCCAAGACUUGAUCAAGGACUUCCACAGUUCCACGGCCGUGCGGACCCCACCUCGAGCUUGCCAUGAGGGGCCUGUGCGUCAGUUGAAGGGAUGCUAGUGUUACCUGGUAAAGUUAGCUGUUUUUUGGUGCAUUGUUAGACUCUUCUCAUUUGCUGAAUUGCUGCCUGCCUUUUGGUUCACUAAAACUCUCCUUUCCUCUGAGACCAUCUGUUUGGUUUCUCCGCUGUGCAAGGCCUACCUUUGCUCCUGCUGUUGCUGUGCUGCCAUAGGUGUGCCGGGAGAGAUGUCGGGGUUGCUUGGCACGGUGGUUGAUGCAACAAUAGGAUGGCUGGUGCAAAGCAUCCUUGACAGCUUCUUUACUGGACGUAUGGAAGCCUGGACUCGUGAAAUCGGGCUUGCUGAAGAUGUGGAGAAGCUCAAAUUUCAGAUGAGGGACGUGCAGAUGGUUCUUGCUGCUGCCGAGGGAAGGAGGAUUGACAAUAUGCCUCUGGCGGAUGAUCUCAGAGAGCUACUUUAUGAUUCAGAGGACGUGAUGGAUGAGCUUGACUACUACCGACUUGAGCAACAGAUCACAGAAGGGAAAGGUUGUAGUGCUCCUACUGGUACUAAUCUUGAGGGAAGCUAUGUGUCUUCAUCCACUCUAUCUUCUGUUGUUAAAUCAGUAUGCAGUGCCACAAGCCAAAUAACUGACUGGAUCUCACAUGGCAGAAAAAGGAAACGUGAAGAAGAGGGGCCUGCUCAUUGUAACAUGCUGCCUUUUGAGAUUAAAGAUAGCAUUUCCAAGAGGAUCAAUGUAAUAGUGAAUCUUCUAUGCAGUAAUAGCAAUUCUGUAAAGGGGGUUCUUCAGCUUGAGAACUUGCGCACCAUGGCAACAUCAAGUAAGAGUCAGAAUAUUGCCAGGGAUCAUCGCAUGACAACUUCUGUUCCGAUUGAGUCUAAGGUGUACGGACGAGAUGCAGAGAGAGACGAGAUAAUAGAUCUGUUGAUAAAGGGGGGAUUUAGUGAUCUGAAUGUUCUGCCAGUGGUUGGCAGUGGUGGUAUUGGGAAGACGACACUUGUUAGAUAUGUAUACCAUGCUAAAAGAAUUAAAGAUCAUUUUGAUUUGCUAAUAUGGGUCUGUGUAUCCACUAACUUAGAUGUAGUGGGGCUAACACUUCAGAUCCUAGAUCAUGUAUGUGAAGAUAGACCAUAUGAAAAAAAAAGCAGUUUGAAUAAAUUGCAGGAGAUACUUCAAGAAAAUAUUAGAAACAAAAGAUUUCUGCUUGUAAUGGAUGAUAUGUGGGAAGAGAAGGACAGGGGUGGAUGGAUUAAACUCUUGGCUCCAUUGAAAAGUAAUAAAGUAAAAGGUUGCAUGGUACUAGCAACAACCAGAACAAAAUCAGUGGCAAAAAUGAUAGGAACUAUGGAUGAAAUCACAUUGACUGGUCUGGAUGAGAAGGAGUUUUGGCUGUUUUUCAAGGCAUGUGCAUUUCGCAAUGACAACCGCGAGCACCAUCCUAGUUUGCAAUCUAUUGGGAAACAAAUUGCUAAAGCACUAAAAGGCUUCCCACUAGCUGCACAAAGUGUUGGUGCACUUCUGAGCACAGAAGUUAGCUAUCAGCAUUGGACGACAGUUCGGGACAAACGGAAAUCUCUUCAAGGAUAUGAUGAUGAUAUUUUACCCAUCUUGAAGCUCAGUUAUGAUUAUCUACCAGUCUACCUUCAGCGGUGUUUCUCAUACUGCUCUUUGUAUCCAGAGGACUACGGAUUUGAUGGGAAAGAAUUGGUCCAUGCCUGGAUAUCACAAAAUUUUGUGCAGUGCAAAGAUCCUACCAUAAGACUGGAGGAAACAGGGCAUGAAUAUUUGGAAAAAUUAGUGGAUUUGGGCUUCUUCCAAAAGGAUGGCUCACACUAUGUUAUGCAUGACCUAAUGCAUGUAUUGGCAGGGAUGGUUUCAUCAAAUGAGUGUGCUACUAUAGAUGGAUUGAAAUCCGGGGCAAUUCGAGCAAGUGUUCGGCAUUUGUCGAUCAUAAUUGCUGAUUAUGAUAAAGAUGAACAUGUCAGCAAUUCUAGUGAGAAGUUUGACAAAAUACUUCAGAAGGUGUCUUGGCACAAAUUGAGGACAUUGAUGUUGUUUGGGCGAAGCAGCAUACAUUUAUCAGGGCCAUUGCGUACUUUAUGCAAUGAGGCAAAAUGUUUACGGUUGCUAAGUGUGACAGGUGCUGACAUCAGCUCUAUAUACAAUUCGUCAAAUCUAUUCCAUCUUCGCUAUAUAUCAGCAUACAGAGUCAGCAACCCUGCGUUUCGUCAAGCUUUGACAAGAUGUUAUCACCUUCAAGUACUGGAUGUGGGCAUUUCGGGCAAUCUUGAUGUACCUACUGACAUGAAUAAUCUUGUGAAUCUGCGUCAUCUUAUUGCUCAUGAGAAAGUGCACCACGCAAUAGAUUGUGUCAGCAACAUGACCUCUCUUCAGGAAUUAAAAUUCAAGGUUCAAAAUGUUGGCAGUUUUGAGAUAGGACAACUUCAGUCCAUGAAUGAGCUUGUAUCACUAGGAGUUUCUCAACUUGAAAAUGUGAAGACUAAAGAAGAGGCGUGGGCAGCCAUGCUGACACACAAAGAGUAUCUAGAAACAAUGUUCUUGUCAUGGGAGAAUAGCAGCAUGAGCCUUCAACCUGAGGCUGCAGAGGAUGUGCUUGAUGGUCUUCAACCACAUCAGAACCUCAAAACUCUAGAAAUAACUGGAUAUGGUGGUGCUAUCUCCCCAACCUGGCUUUCCAGUGCCUUUUCAGUUACCUCACUGCAGAUACUUCAUCUGGAGGAGUGUAGGGAAUGGCAAAUUCUAUCUACUCAUGGAAUGCAUUCCCUUAGGAAGCUGACAUUGAUCAGGAUGUUGGAUUUAAUGGAACUCUCAGUUCCUUCCUUGGUAGAGUUGAUCCUGAUUGGCAUGCCAAAAUUGAAAAAAUGUACCGGUUCUUAUGGAAUGGAUUUGACUUCCCAUUUAAGUGUUUUGAUGAUCAAGAACUGCCCUCAACUGAAUGAGCUCACUCUUUUCCAGAGUUACUCUUCUUUCGACGCUGAGCAGAAAUCCUGGUUUCCAUCUCUCAGCAAACUGUCCAUCGGGCAGUGUCCUCAUAUAAUCAACAACUGGCCAAUCCUUCCACUAAGAGAAAUGGGGGCACUCAAGGAGUUGGAGUUGAUGGAUCUGCAUGUUGUCAGAGUGUCAAUUCCUUCUCUGGAGAAGUUGGCGUUGACUAAAAUGCCAAUCCUGGAAUAUUGCAGCAGUCUAACGACUUCUCCACCUCUCCAAUCUUCACCUCCUGAAGGAGAUCAGAAUGAAUUGGUGUCUAAUCUCCGUAGACUCACCAUCCAUGAUUGCCCAUGUUUGAUAGUGUCACAUCCUCUUCCGCCUUCUGCUCUAAUUUCUGAGUUGUCCAUCAGUGGGGUUUCGACACUUCCAACAAUGAGGAUAAACUGGAGACGUUUCACUAUCGAAUCUAAUGAGUUGUGUAUGCUGGAUGAGAGUAUCUUGGCAUUUCAUAAUCUGAGGGGUAACAUUGUUUCAAAUAAGAAGCUGUCCAAAUCUGAUCUCUCUUUCAAGUGAAUCUUUUAGCCAGCUCAUUGCUUUAGAGACUUUAUCUAUACAUGAAUGCCCUAAUCUUACUAUGUCAAACAUUAUGCCAGAGGUUGUCCAGGAAAACAGCACAUCUACAAGCAGCCUUGUCCCCCCAUCUCUCAAACGUGUCAACAUUAGCACAUGUGGCGUAACUGGGAGGUGGCUAUCUCAACUGCUUUCACAUUCGCAGUCCCUUGAGGAGUUGCUGUUAACUGGCUGUCCGCAGAUAAAGUUUCUAUCAAUCAGUCAACCUAGAGAAAUGGAAGGGACCAGCAGUUUGGUUUCAGCAGUGACGACCUCGGCCCAAGAUGAACAUGAAUUGAAACUGCCAUAUAAUCUCCUAUGUUCUCUCAAGGCGCUAUGCAUUCAGCUAAGCCUGGAUCUGGAGUUCUGUGGGGGUUACAGAGACUUCGCAGGAUUCACCUCUCUUACGGACCUAGUCCUUUUUGGUUGCCCCAAGCUGGUCUCAUCGUUGGUGGGUGAAACAAAAGAUGAUGGUACCAUGGAAGUUGGAUUACUCCCACCAGCACUUGAAAAAGUUACUAUCAGUCCUCUCCAAGAAAGCCUGCGGUCCUUCACUCCUCAAGGCCUUCUCCACCUCAAAGAGCUAAGUCUCUUUUAUGGCCCAUGUUUGAAGUCUGUACAGCUGCAUUCCUGUACCUCCCUAGUGGAGCUAGGGAUCACGGGGUGUGUCCAGCUGGCUGUACUGGAGGGUUUGCAGUUCCUCACCUCCCUCCGAAGCUUGGAUAUUGAGAUGAGCCCGGAGCUGUCUUCUGCAUGGGAUCUCAAACUGCAGGAGCAAGAACAGGGUGGCAAUCAAAUUCAGCUGCUUCCUCCGUCCCUUGAUAAACUUGAGAUCAGGGCUCUCACGGACAGUGUCCAAUCCCAUCUUCUGUCCUGCCUUCCUGCCAUCACCAAAUUAGCGAUAGGGCGUAGUCCAGAAUUGACAUCUCUACAGCUGGGAUGCUGCACGGCACUAAAAGAGUUGGAAAUUGAAAAAUGCGACUCACUGGAGUCCAUCGAGGGCCUCCAAUUCUGUAGAAACCUGAAAUACCUGAGAGUAUUUAACUCCCCUGGCCUAGCUUCCUUUUUGGAGCUCGUGUCGCACCAGCAAGGGGCCUCUGCGACCUUGUCUGGACUGGAAACUCUUGAGGCCAGUGACGGGUCUGUCCUUUCCAGGUCUUUCUGCAAACAGCUCACAUCUCUAGGACUCCUACAGUUCGGCUCUGAGACUAGUGAAUGGAGAGGAGAGAGCUUGGUGAGCCUAACGGAGGAACAAGAGGGAGCGUUACAGCUUCUAACCUCCCUCCAAGAGCUUCAAUUUCGGAGAUGCCAGAAUCUCUUGUCACUUCCUGCAAAUCUUAAUAGCCUGACCUCCCUCGAGACAUUAUCUAUCAUACAUUGUAAGAGCAUCACAAGGCUGCCAGACAUGGGCCUCCCAACUUCUCUCAGAUCUCUCAAGUUAUUCUACUGUAGUGAGGAGCUAGCCGUGCAAUGCAGAAUUGUAGCAACAGAGAAGCUAAGGGUGAGGAUUGAUCGUCAGGAUGUGAAUUAAUCACCUGUGUCUACUUCUAAGUGGCCAGCACAUUUGUGCAAGUGCCACAUACCCAUUUGGCUUUCCACGAGCUACCUGCAUGAUGGAUGGACGCAGGAAAGCAUAAGGGCAAAGUGGUUUGUUAUUCAGUAAAACCACACAGCGGACUGCUCGAACCAACCUCAACCAGGACUACCUGAUCCUGAUGACUGCACAUUAAUUUGCUGGUCGCUCGACUCUACCAUUUCCGGUAUGGAUUGGCAGUUGGAUCAUGUCCAUGAGAAACUGAAGAAGGUACAACAAAUCAGUCAGUGACGAUCUCGUUGAAGAAGUGGAGGCCGAAGUCAGGGGAGGGGGGGCAAUAGCAGAGGCAACUCAUACCGCAUAUGGACCUGCCGGAAGCUAAAUGAGUCAGAUCACCAACGCACCGUCUUGUUUCCCUUCCUCCAUCAUCUGCUCAGCUCAUGGCCUCCUCUACUGCCUUCUUGCUUCUCAGCAGUGCAUUGGGUGACACUCAGCCCGUGCCAUCGAUGAAUCGAUGGAGGUGGAUGUCCAUGGUGGGGUCGUCACCGAAUUUGAUGUUGCUGGAGAUGUUCUCGUCGAGCUCGGCGAAGAGAGCCUUGUCACCGUUCAUGUAGUUCGAGGCACCCGUGUGGAGAAUAGUGGAGAUGCUAGGCCUUGUAGAAAGCUUUGGAUAAGAAGAUAGGAGGGCAACAAAUAUUUUCCCAGCUAAAGUGCUACCGUUUGUGGAGCGAGUCCUGAUUCAAGAUGAGAAAGUAGAAAUACAGUAGAAUGACAACACCACUCAGUAAUAGUUGAAUUUGUACUACUAUGCUAUAUGCGACCUUCUGUGUUUAGGUUCCAUCAGCAUUUCAUCCGAUUGAGCAUUGCUGGAGGGUAUUGCCAGCAAGCCCAAGUGAUCUUCUUCCCCAAAAUUGUACCUACUACCUAGCGAUAAAACUUAUGUGUAUACUUUUGUUAGAUUAUCUCCAUCCACACUUGGCCAUCAGUCUAGCCACCAAAUCUUGCUAGAAAAGAUUGUGGUUUGCAGAACAUGAUAAGAUCAAGACAAGGACAGCAACCUAACUAGUAC